UACAGAGGUCCCAAGCGUUGUUCGGAUUCAUUGGGCGUAAAGGGUGCGUAGGUGGCGCUGUAAGUCGGGUGUGAAAUUUCGGAGCUUAACUCCGAAACUGCAUUCGAUACUGCGGUGCUCGAGGACUGGAGAGGAGACUGGAAUUUACGGUGUAGCAGUGAAAUGCGUAGAUAUCGUAAGGAAGACCAGUGGCGAAGGCGAGUCUCUGGACAGUUACUGACGCUGAGGCACGAAGGCCAGGGGAGCAAACGGG
rnacentral:rRNA from 1 species